CUCCAGACUCCUACGGGAGGCAGCAGUGGGGAAUAUUGCACAAUGGGGGAAACCCUGAUGCAGCGACGCCGCGUGAGUGAAGAAGUAUUUCGGUAUGUAAAGCCCUAUCAGCAGGAAAGAAAAUGACGGUACCUGACUAAGAAGCCCCGGCUAACUACGUGCCAGCAGCCGCGGUAAUACGUAGGGGGCAAGCGUUAUCCGGAUUUACUGGGUGUAAAGGGGGCGCAGACGGCAGCGCAAGCCAGGAGUGAAAGCCCGGGGCCCAACCCCGGGACUGCUCUUGGAACUGCGCGGCUGGAGUGCAGGAGGGGCAGGCGGAAUUCCUGGUGUAGCGGUGAAAUGCGUAGAUAUCAGGAGGAACACCGGUGGCGAAGGCGGCCUGCUGGACUGCGACUGACGUUGAGGCCCGAAAGCGUGGGGAGCAAACAGGAUUAGAUCCCCCAGUA
rnacentral:rRNA from 1 species